rnacentral:rRNA from 1 species
UGGGAAUCUACCUAGUUCUACGGAACAACACAGGGAAACUUGUGCUAAUACCGUAUACGCCCUACGGGGGAAAGAUUUAUCGGAAUUAGAUGAGCCCGCGUAAGAUUAGCUAGUUGGUGGGGUAAUGGCCUACCAAGGCGACGAUCUUUAGCUGGUCUGAGAGGACGACCAGCCACACUGGGACUGAGACACGGCCCAGACUCCUACGGGAGGCAGCAGUGGGGAAUUUUGGACAAUGGGCGCAAGCCUGAUCCAGCAAUGCCGCGUGCAGGAUGAAGGCCUUCGGGUUGUAAACUGCUUUUGUACGGAACGAAAAGGCUCUGGUUAAUACCUGGGGCUCAUGACGGUACCGUAAGAAUAAGCACCGGCUAACUACGUGCCAGCAGCCGCGGUAAUACGUAGGGUGCGAGCGUUAAUCGGAAUUACUGGGCGUAAAGCGUGCGCAGGCGGUGAUGUAAGACAGUUGUGAAAUCCCCGGGCUCAACCUGGGAACUGCAUCUGUGACUGCAUCGCUGGAGUGCGGCAGAGGGGGAUGGAAUUCCGCGUGUAGCAGUGAAAUGCGUAGAUAUGCGGAGGAACACCGAUGGCGAA